AAUGAACGCUGGCGGCGCGCCUAAUACAUGCAAGUCGAGCGAGAAGACGUAGCAAUACGUUUGUAAAGCGGCGAACGGGUGAGGAAUACAUGGGUAACCUACCCUCGAGUGGGGAAUAACUAGCCGAAAGGUUAGCUAAUACCGCGUACGCUUCUUGGACUUCGGUUCAGGGAGGAAAGCGAUGCCGAGGGUAUCGCGCUCUUGGAUGGGCUCAUGUCCUAUCAGCUUGUUGGNGAGGUAACGGCUCACCAAGGCUUCGACGGGUAGCUGGUCUGAGAGGACGAUCAGCCACACUGGCACUGCGACACGGGCCAGACUCCUACGGGAGGCAGCAGUAAGGAAUAUUGCGCAAUGGGCGAAAGCCUGACCCAGCAACGCCGCGUGAAGGAUGAAGUAUUUCGGUAUGUAAACUUCGAAAGAAUAGGAAGAAUCAAUGACGGUACUAUUUAUAAGGUCCGGCUAACUACGUGCCAGCAGCC
rnacentral:rRNA from 1 species